rnacentral:rRNA from 1 species
GCCUACGGGGGGCAGCAGUGGGGAAUAUUGCACAAUGGGGGAAACCCUGAUGCAGCGACGCCGCGUGAGCGAAGAAGUAUUUCGGUAUGUAAAGCUCUAUCAGCAGGGAAGAAGAUGACGGUACCUGAGUAAGAAGCCCCGGCUAACUACGUGCCAGCAGCCGCGGUAAUACGUAGGGGGCAAGCGUUAUCCGGAUUUACUGGGUGUAAAGGGAGCGCAGACGGUGAGACAAGUCUGAAGUGAAAGCCCGGGGCUCAACCCCGGGACUGCUUUGGAAACUGCCUGACUGGA